rnacentral:rRNA from 1 species
AUUGAACGCUGGCGGCAGGCCUAACACAUGCAAGUCGAACGGUAACAGGAAGCAGCUUGCUGCUUUGCUGACGAGUGGCGGACGGGUGAGUAAUGUCUGGGAAACUGCCUGAUGGAGGGGGAUAACUACUGGAAACGGUAGCUAAUACCGCAUAACGUCGCAAGACCAAAGAGGGGGACCUUAGGGCCUCUUGCCAUCGGAUGUGCCCAGAUGGGAUUAGCUAGUAGGUGGGGUAACGGCUCACCUAGGCGACGAUCCCUAGCUGGUCUGAGAGGAUGACCAGCCACACUGGAACUGAGACACGGUCCAGACUCCUACGGGAGGCAGCAGUGGGGAAUAUUGCACAAUGGGCGCAAGCCUGAUGCAGCCAUGCCGCGUGUAUGAAGAUGGCCUUCGGGUUGUAAAGUACUUUCAGCGGGGAGGAAGGGAGUAAAGUUAAUACCUUUGCUCAUUGACGUUACCCGCAGAAGAAGCACCGGCUAACUCCGUG